rnacentral:rRNA from 1 species
UAGGGAAUCUUCGGCAAUGGACGAAAGUCUGACCGAGCAACGCCGCGUGAGUGAAGAAGGUUUUCGGAUCGUAAAACUCUGUUGUUAGAGAAGAACAAGGACGUUAGUAACUGAACGUCCCCUGACGGUAUCUAACCAGAAAGCCACGGCUAACUACGUGCCAGCAGCCGCGGUAAUACGUAGGUGGCAAGCGUUGUCCGGAUUUCUUGGGCGUAAAGCGAGCGCAGGCGGUUUCUUAAGUCUGAUGUGAAAGCCCCCGGCUCAACCGGGGAGGGUCAUUGGAAACUGGGAGACUUGAGUGCAGAAGGGGAGAGUGGAAUUCCAUGUGUAGCGGUGAAAUGCGUAGAUAUAUGGAGGAACACCAGUGGCGAAGGCGGCUCUCUGGUCUGUAACUGACGCUGAGGCUCGAAAGCGUGGGGAGCAAACAGG